CUCUCUAGGACCCUAGAGGCCUGGCGUCUCUGCUCCUCCGGCCCAGCUCCUGCCCCGCCCGCCCGCUCGGCGCCCGGACCCCGCCGAGUUCCCCUCUGCAGGAGGGGCCGACCCUGGGCUUGGGUCCGGCAGGCGCGCGGUUGCCACGGUGCCAGAGGCGCGGGAGGCCUGGCCCUGCCCCUCCGGGUGUCGCGAACAGGUACCGUGGGUAAAAGAGGACUCAGACUCAGAUGGCAAUUCACAUACUUAUCUUAUAUUGUCAUAAUUCAUUUCAAUACAAUUACCACACACUAUGCAAUUAUCACACAAUAUUAAGUCUGCCAAUUACCACGUCCCUGUACCUGUACUGCGCAAGUCCUUAUGGGAGCACGACGUUUCCUCCCGCAGGGUCAGAGGGUCCGAUCCCUAGACGAAGGGCGUCGAGUCGGCGCUAGGCUAUCUGCCUCUCCGCUUGCCUCAUCCUCUGGUCUCAUCUGGUCGGAGGCGAUGCUCCUCCCAGUGGGAUCAGCUGUGCAUAGGUCUCGGUCGGUAGUCAGAUCAUCAGAUUGACUGGUCGACUGGUCAGUGGGACGGAUCGUCAACUUGCUUGGGGUCUUCAGCUCCUUUUAUACUAUUCUAACUGGGUGUUUGUGGUAUUGGUUCAGACUUAUCACACUGUCCAUUUCGUGGGCACACCCUGUCCAGUUCAGGGCACACCCUUAUCAGUUCCAUACUGCUUAAGGUUCUACUUUCAUAUCUUAUGGUUACACAUCACUCUUAUGAUUGUGUUAUAUUUAGGUUACAGCACUCUUAAAGUCACAGCACACUUUAGGAUUACAGCACACUUAGGGUUCUACUGUUGUGCCCAGAUCGUGGAAGUCCCCAAAGACCACCAAGGAGCUGAUUCCGAUGUAAACACACGAGGGUUGUUUAUUCAAGCUCGAGCAGGGGCACUCAACCGUCAUCGACACAGUGGAUCAGGAUUGAGAGCCCCGAAUUUCAAAUCAGCAGGGUUUUUAUUGUGGCUACAGCAAGGUUUGGGGAUUUUCCAUUUAGCAGUUACAUGAUUGGUUGAUAUUUAGCAAGUAUGGGGUGUACAUGGGGGGGCGUUGAGGGGUGGCUACAUGUAGAUUUUAUGGGAAAAAGGAACAAUCAGCACAUUGACAG
rnacentral:lncRNA from 1 species